GUGGAGCUGAGGGUGGAAGGGGAGUGAGCUGACGCUCGGAAGGUGUCUUGAGAUUAUCAUCCGCUGAGGGUGGAAGGGGAGUGAGCACACACUCGGGAGGUGUCUUGAGAUUAUCAUCCGCUGAGGGUGGAAGGGGAGUGAGCACACACUCGGGAGGUGUCUUGAGGCUCAGGGAGUUAUCAGUUAUAGAAUGUUGUUGAGUUGGAGGAGGUGGCUGGUGGCCCAUCCUGUUUUUUAAAGUUUCAGCUGUG
rnacentral:lncRNA from 1 species